CAAAGAGUAGUUUAACCAGAAUACUAGCUUUGGGAGUUAGUGGCAGGGGUUAAAAUCCCUUCUUUUUGA
rnacentral:tRNA from 1 species